ensembl:lncRNA
CCCCAAAACUGUGCCAUUAACAAGCUUUCUUACACCCAGAAAUGCAUUAUUUUAUGUGUUUUUCAAAAUAUUUUGUGUUACUAUCCAAACAUAUGAACUUUAAUAUUUCUUUUUUAAAAAUUAUACUUUUUUUUUUUACCCAAAUUAUUAGGCUUAAUAUGAUAGUAGCAUGAAUUCUGUACACAUGUCACACUAACACUAACUUUUAUCAUGUUUGAACAUCUCAUGCUGAUCUCAGCAGAUUAGCUCACACAGAGUAGAGACUACACUGACAGUGCGCCGCCUUGUGGUUCAAAGUGGUAUUACAGAAGAGUACAGGCCAGCCCCAUUUACUCUUCAGCUGAUAUCAUGUUUGCAACACACAGACAUCAUCGCUACAAUAAGAUCCUUUCAACAUUCACAGAAAUAACAACAGCAUAUUAGGGGUACUUUAAAAAAAACAGAGUGAAUUCACAAAAAGAGCAUUUCAAAAGAAUAAAAGUGGUACAGAAGCGAUACGACGUUUUGUUACACACACUUUUAGUGGGUUACUACGUCAAAACAGCCUCUAAAUUCAGAUUUUUAAAUGUACAUGUGUGCUAAAAACAACAACAACAAAACAUUCCUAGCAAGGGUCAGAACUAAGCAAUCAAACUCAAGAACUAACACUAGGUGCGUUAUACCUGACUAAAGACCUCCUGCUGAAAAGCUGCCACUUUUCUGGUUUAGGGACUUGAUGCACUCUUGUGGUGUGACUCUAUAGAAUUUGUCAUGAAUGAAGAUGCUAAAAGGAGUCGCAUUUACUUCCAAACCUUAAAAGCAGUUGUUUGAAAUCCUCACAAGCAGAAGUAUUAAAACUUGGUCUAAAGACCUGACAAUUCAAAGUCUGCCAUUAAAUAAAAAUAAUAAAAAGAGCUACAGAGUGAUGCCACCAUACAAAGGAGUCUUAGUUUGAAGACUAAAACUAGAAUAUAAUCUGCUUUCAGGAGUCCUCCUCACACAGAGAGGAACUGUUACAGAGAACAUCUUCAGUGAAUGAUCUCAUGAUCACUGUAACGCAAUGUCUCCCAAUACAGGAUUUUCCCCCGGCAAACGGUAAUCCCAACUCAUCUGGUGAUUUGAUGAAGUUUAUUAAUUAAUUAGCCCAUCUCUGUUCUAAAAAGAAACCCUCACACCGCUCUGAUGUAAAAUCUCUGCAUAUACAGUUACUAACAUACAGGUUUUACUUGUCUUGUUGCCAUGUUAGGUUGCAUUUUAUUCCCAUGAUUUUGUGCACACAGAACUGGAUUGAAACUUCACAAGUAUGUGUUAGAGAUUUGUUAUACUGGAUUGCGUAGCGUGUGGCUGCUUUGUCCACUCCUUUUCUUUGUUGGGUUUUUUUUCUAACAAAUUAAAUCAUCUGCCAGCAUUCCUCCAGCUUUGAUAAUUAAACUGGUUUAUUCCCUUUUUUGGCUUGAGGCAAUCCUAAUGAUUCUCCUCGUAUAACACCAAAGCACCACCUCCACACAGAAAAAACGUGCAAGCCAAGUUUGAACUUCUCAACUGCAAAUCAGCUACAAUUUUUAUCAUUGCUGUUUAUUUUUCAGAUGCACUUUUCUACUAUUUCAGGCAUCCAGUCUUACCCCUUAGUUUCCUAAAUUGCAAAUGCAUCAAAAUUAAUGGGGAGGAUGUCAAAGGCUAAUUGAUUUUCUCAUAUUCAAUGAAACGAUAAGUCAUGUGUCUGAUUUACAUUAUAUUAUUUUUAGAAUAUCUUGUAGAAGAUGCAGUCUUUCAUUUGGGCUUGUUGUUUAUUAACCAGUAAAAUUUACUGCAACAACUAACCUGUUUCACAGUCUACAGCUACUUGAUGUAGAUUAGAUGGUUUUACAGGAAAGCAGCAUCAUACCAGCAGUUUUGCAUGGAUAGGAAUGCAUUAGAUGCCUGGAAUAGUAGGAAAAAUACAAUAUUAUCAUAGAGAAAUAAUCUUUUUUUAGUGCUAAUAAGAUAUUGAUUUGCUGCCACACUGUAGAGUUAGAAUUGUUUGUGGAUCAAGCGAAACAUGUCGUGCUUCAUAAAAGGACUUCAGCAUAAAUCAAAGAUCCUGUUCUGACUUCUCCAAAAAGAAAAAUACUAAAUGCGGAUGCUGUGUUUGUAGUAUAUAUUGUACUCUAACUGAAAAGGCUAUCUGAAGUUGCAAUGCAGGAGGCAAACAUCAGCUGGGGAGCAGUUUAAUUCUCCCUUAUUAGUAAAGCUAUGUAAGAAGUGUAUAAUCUGUUUGGUUAUUUUGUUGUUUUUUAACUGCUCGGUUGUUUCUGCAGUGUGUGUUUGUAUAUUUUAUCUAAAGUUGAAGCUUUUAAUUGUUGGUGAAAGAAUUUCCUCUAACCAGCAUUGUUAAAUAUAUCUAUUAGUAUACAGUAUAGAGUAAAAAGGUAUAAUUAACCCUCCCCCACAGUCAACGUUUUGUGAUGUUUCCUAAAAUUUAAGUACCAAACUUACUGAGCGGCUUACUGCUCGUACACAUAGUGCAACACACUACCUAGCCUAAUAUUUAUCUGAGGAUGCAUGACACUUGCUAUGUAUGUUACAUAUAAUGACUUUUGUUAUCCUAUUUACAGAAAGUUUGGAUGCAGUCAGACUUAUUUUAUACCUUUUUAUGCAUGCGAUUUAUAUAAAUGUUCUUUGUAAUCAUUUUAAAGGAGUUUCUGUUUAACAAACUUUUAUGUACCCCUAAAUAAAAACAUUGUUUCUUGUGAUGUGC